GCCGCGGUGGUUUAGCCCGGUCAAGAAUGCGGGCCUCUCGAGCCCGUGACCCGGGUUCAAAUCCCGGCCGCGGCACCA
rnacentral:tRNA from 15 species